GACCUCAUAGUAUAACGGCUAGUAUGUCUCGUUGUCUGCGAGUGGGUCGGGGUUCGAUUCCCCGUGGGGUCGCCA
rnacentral:tRNA from 1 species